CAGUAGCCGCGGUAAUACGGAGGGUGCGAGCGUUAAUCGGAAUAACUGGGCGUAAAGGGCACGCAGGCGGUGACUUAAGUGAGGUGUGAAAGCCCCGGGCUUAACCUGGGAAUUGCAUUUCAUACUGGGUCGCUAGAGUACUUUAGGGAGGGGUAGAAUUCCACGUGUAGCGGUGAAAUGCGUAGAGAUGUGGAGGAAUACCGAAGGCGAAGGCAGCCCCUUGGGAAUGUACUGACGCUCAUGUGCGAAAGCGUGGGGAGCAAACAGGAUUAGAUACCCCAGUAGUCCCUGUCUCUUAUAC
rnacentral:rRNA from 1 species